rnacentral:lncRNA from 1 species
GUAACACCCCUGGUGUUACGUAAACUAAAACUCUGACAUGUCAUCAUAAGCAUCUGCAUUAAUGUGCUUGUUACACCUAGAAUGCAUUUACUAGGUUAAAAUUUUCUUUUCAAAAGUGUGAUGUCGUGUGUUGAGUAUAGGACUUAGGUUGAAAACCUUGCUUGAAAUUGUGGAUAAACAAAAUAACUCCGAAAUCAAGGACUUGUUCGGAAGGAGCUACAUAUGCUAAAGUUGGAUCUUAGACUAGAGAGUAACUUUGUUUCUAAUGGAUGGAUCAAAGGGAUGAAUCCCUGGAAGAAUCUGAAACACAAAUGAAACUCAUUUGAAACCCUAAAACUAGCCCAAAAGGGGAAUUCAAAAUCUAGAAGGAUUUAGCUAAAAGUCUAUAUACCAAGGUUGUAGGACUUGGAAAAGUGAACAAAUUUCAUAUUUGGAGAUUCCUAAGUUGUGUGGAAGAAUUUGGAGUUAAGUACAAAAAUUCAGUUUUGGGUUCAUUUUGGAAUUGCUGAAAAUAAUAUAAACUAGACAACUUUGGACCCUUGUAACUUCUGAUCUAAAACUAUUUUGAAGAUGAUCAUUAUAACAAAGUCAUAGAGCUACAUGAGGAGUACAAGUUUGGUUAAGUCACCUAGCCCUAACACUCUAUGGAACUUGGAGAAAAACUAGUCCAAUGUAGAGCUGUCAGAAAUUGUAGAUUUCAGACUUAGUGAAAUUCAGAUUCUGAAUUUCAGCAAUUGGAGCAAACUUUGGGCUAUUGUAGUUUGGAAUUCAAGAGGUUUUAGUUAAUGGUUACUAUAUCAAACUUGUAGAGGAACUAUUGGAGUAUAAACUUUAUUAAGCAACUUGCCCCUAUAAACAUUUGGAACCCAGGAAAAAGAGUGGUUCCAAGUGGUGCUGCUGUAUUUCUGAAUUUUCAGAUUGGAAACAGUAACUGAAACUGAAUUUCAGUGUUUUGAUAGCAGUUUUGAAGCCUAUUUGUGGUUGUUCUAUAAUGUUUUGUGCUAUGGUAUUUAUAGAGAAGUUGAAGCCCAUAUGAUGGUGAACAAGUUUCUUUAAGUGACUUUGGCUUCUUUCCACAUAAAAAGUGGAUAAAAAUGCCCCCAAAAUCAGCUGCUAGGCAUUCCUAUAACUGAAUUUGGUUCAGUUCUGAAAACUGAAAUUUGUUGUAUGGUGCCGAGUUUGGAGCCCUUUUGUGGUUGUUUAUAAGGUUUUGGACUGAGAUUUCUAUAGAGGAAUUGAAGACCAUAUAUUGGUGAACAUCUUCUUUAAAGGUAAUGGACAUGAUCCUAUACGAAAAUUGGAGUAACAGCUGCUCCAAGUUUGACUGUCAGGUGGUUGGUGACUUAGUUUAUUCAGAACUGAAAGUCUGAAGUCAAUAUUUUUAGUGCAGUUUUGGAGCUGUGUAGUGCCUAUUCUAGGUGGUUUUGAACCAAAGUUUCUGCAGCAAGUUUUAAGACCAUAUCUAGGAGAACAAACUUGUUUAAGCACUACUGGGUUGGUGCUACACAAAUUUGGGAGAGAAGUUAGCUCCAAGAUGGGCUGUCAGGUUGCUUUGACUGAAAUUUUUGUUCAGUUCACUGAAACCGAAAUUCAGUAAAAGGUACUAAUUUUGGAGCUCAUUUGUGGCUAAUCCAUUUGGUUUUGGGCUAAAUUUUCUGUAUCACAUUUGAAGACCAGAGUACAUUGAACAAGUUUUAUAUAGUGAGGUGGACUUGAUGCUGCACAAAACUGGGAGAAAAAGGUGUUCAAACUACCUCUGUCAGAUUGGUGCAGAUCAGGUCUGAUGCAGUGACUGUGGUUUUGGUUUAGUGUUUUCCCUAGAUUUUAGAGUUAAUUUGUGGUUGAUCCAAGGGGUAUAAGUCUAUGGCCUCUGUGGAGAUAAGUUAGAGGGUUAGUUGGUGAACAAAGUUCACCAAGAUUGAUUCCGUGAUGUUGCUUGGAAGUAGAAGAAAUGAAAGGGUGGAAGGAGGGGUUCUGUUAAGCUGUGGUAGUUCAGUGUUGGUCAAAAGGAAUCUGAAAAAGAUCACCCCCUGCUGCUCUCACCUAUGAGCUUGGAUGGGGAUAAGGUUGAAAGGUGUCACUAAAGAUCUAGAGAACAUUCACUAGUGCAAAAUAUCCAAGUUGGACUGCAGUGAGCAGUGGGGUGUUUAAUUGUUUCAGUUGUCGCUUGCAGUUGGGGACAAAGGGGAUAUUUGUGUGUGUAGUUGAGAUGAGUAUGGAGUGUAGGAUUGAGGUCUUAAGACACCACCCUCUGCUGGACGAAAUAUCAAGGCUUUGAACCUGUUGGAACCUAUCCACAAGUGAUAUUUGGGUGCUGUAAUUGGGAGAUGACCACAUUCAAUGUCUUUGAGCUGUGCUGUGAACCUGUGUGGCAGUGAGCAUGUGAGCCACGUAAUGAAGUGCAUGUGUGGCUGGCACCCUGAGAACACAACUCCACUGCAUGCUGGACAGGUUCAUGGGACAUCUGCCCAUUUCAGCAAGCUUAAAAGGCAGGGUCCAGUGAGGUUUCCUCCCUGUCUCAAGCUCUAUUUUCAGACCACGGAAAGGAGAAUAGAGUUCUUGUGCUCAUACUAGAGAUAACUCUCUUCCCAGUCUCUAGCCUUGAUCUGAACCAGAGCCAAGCACGCCAGCCCUCUGCGUGGUGACCAUUGUCCACAUCACCGUGGCCAGGUAAUCUCAAGAGCUUUCUCAGCUGUGUGGUAUAUGUUCCAUGUUCUAAAUCGAUCAGUGAAGCUCACACCAUUUACUAUUUGAACUCUACCACUGUAUGUUGCUGGGAACUAGGUGUAAAAUUCACUCAAAAAUAGGCUGUCAGGUUUUUGGUUCCUAGACUUAGCGCAGAAAGCUGAAACCAGGUUUUAGUGUGUUGAGCUCAAUUUUGGAGCUCUAUUGUGCCCAGUCUAUUUGGUUUUGGGCCAAAGUUUUGUAGCAAGUUUGAAGACCAUAGUAAGAUGAACAAAAUUACUAAUGGGAGAUGGGCUUGGUGCUACACAAAAUUGGAAGUAAAACAUGUCCAAAUAUUCUCUGCCAGACAUAAUAAAUGCUGAUUCAGAACACUAAAAUGGGGUUGCAGUGGUUUUGGCUCUACUUUGGUGCUUCAUAAAAAUUGUUCUGAAUGUUUUAAACCUAGGGGUACUAUACCAAAGUAGUAGAGCUAUAUCUAAGGAAUAACUUUGGUAAUGUGAGCUUGGUCUGCUGCUGUGUAAAAAUUAGAGCAAAGGUUGGCUAAAGUUGGACUGUGAGGCCGGACACAUAACUGAAUUUUGUAUUCAGUUCUGAGAACUGAAUUGCAGCAGGAUGCCUAGUUUGGAAUUCAUUUGUGACUGAUUCAUGGGGUUUUGGAUUAAGGGUUCCAUAGCAAAGUUGUAGACCAUAGUAAAGUGAACAAGUUUUCUAAAGUGAGAUGGACCUGAUUUCACAUAAAUUUGGGAGUAAAAGUAGCCAAAAGGUGGACUGUCAGGUGUUAGAAUUCAGACUUAGAAUAAUAUUUAAGUCUGAAUUUGUGUGUUUUUAUUUAAUUUGGGUCCUUGUGGUUAUUAAUCCAAGAAGAAUUAGUGUAGGAGUGUUAUAGCAAAGUGAAAGACCAUGUUAUAAGGAACAAAUCUCUUUAAGCAAGUUAGGCUUGAAUCCACAUAAAGAUGGAAAUAACAGCUGUCCAAAACUGGACUGUCAGAGUGCCUGUGACUGAAUUUUAUUCAGUUAGCUGAAAUAGCAGUUCAGUGUGAGUUAGUGCUUUGGAAACAAGAUAAGUUUAUCUAGGGAAGAGAUAAAGUUGCUUAAGAAGUUUUAAGCUUUUGGAUGAGAUAUAAGUUGGAUUAAUUCCCUGGUUUACCUAAGUGAUUUCAAAUUGGUCACUUUAAUCGAGCGAUAAGAAAUAGGUGUAUUCUUGUCAUGUGCUUUAGUUGUAGUGUUUCUGUUCUCCACCUCUCCUUGUGAGAGUUUGCAUUACAUGGCAUUCAUUCUUAUAUACACCUAUAUAUGGUUAUGUUUAGAAAACGAAGAAGAGAUCGAAGUGACUGAAGAAAAGACAUCACCACCUUUGGAAUCUCAGGCAGAGACUUGGCUCUACUUCGACAUCUGCGAGUCCGAGCCUGACUCACCUACUAACAAAGGCAAGCCCCGGUGCAUGCAACCCCUUUCCUUGUGUUUUUAAAUACUUUUCGCACACUUUAAGUCUAGUGAAAUGUGCAUUAGGGUCAUAGGAGUUGUUUGAAACCCUUUGAUGCAUUGCUUUCCUUGAUAUCCAUACCUUUAUAGAUACUUCUGUAAAGUAUCAAAAUAUGAUUUACAAAAAUGCUUAGCCUUGCUUAGAUCUUGUGGAUAGAGGUUGUCCUCAAUUUAACCCGGGAGAGGAUGGCUUCUACCUGCAAGAAUAUUUUCAUUUGGAGCAAUAGUGGGAUCUUACUGCAAAGUUCCCUGUGAUGCUCUUUCAUCCUAAGGAACAGACACAAUCCUAAGGAUGGAAAUACUUAAACUGAGACUUGGGUUAGGAACAGGUGAUGUUCUACCCAGGUUGGUUAAGGAUUAACGCGUAUGUAGGCGUGCUGACCGAGGACCCUUUAACUGGUCACAUGCCUCGUCAUGGGUAAGCCUUGCCUCGGGCAGACUAAGGCCGGAAUAAGAUAACACGAAAUGGGCGUGGAGCGGUGGCGAGAGUAGCGUGUACCCUCCGUGGCAAGAGGCUGGACGGUGGUGUAUCUGUGCUCUCGGUUUGCGUGAACCUGAUCCGGUCUUAAGAACCCCGGUGGCGGGUUGACAUAUGCAAGGGUUAAGUGCUACAUAUGUCGUGUGAUUGGAGAUCCUCAGCUGAGUAUAAUCGAUUCGGAUCGCCGUACCUUCGCGGUUAUGAAGACUUGGUCACUUCCCUGCAACCUAAAGUCAGGAUGUGAACACUAUGGAUAAAAAUGAUGUUGUAUUGAUGAGAUGUUGAAAUUAGACUAGAUGCAAAUAGAGUCUAUUAAUACUUAAUAUGGCGUUAAAAGAUUGAAAGUAAGGACUCACUUUAGUAAGCUACUUCUGCAAAAGUAUAAGUUGAUUUUUGCUAAAGCCUCUCCUUGACUCUUAUUUAUCCAGCAUACCCUUGAGAGUCUUUUCCUUAGUCGGGUAAGACUUGCUGAGUAAUUCCAUACUCAGGGUUUAUCCCUUUGUUGUUUUUAGGUGAGGAAGCGACAAAUUUUUGUUGCUUUUGCUCCAAGGUGGUAUCAAAUGAAGAAAAACAAAAGUGAAGAUGCGGGAGGACGUGGUCCUCCAUAUAGGAUCUUUUUGUUUUAAAGCUUUCGGGAGGAGUUUUUGUCUCCCUUGAUAUGUGUAAUAAUACUACUCAGCACUCGUUUAUAGCUCUGGUCUGUAAUAAGUAACUUGAUCUUACUUUCUAAAUAAAUGUAAGUUUAUGUAAUUGCUUCCGCACUUCUAUAUCUCCGAUGUUCUGUAAUGUCUGCAAGACGGGUGAGACGUUCCUGGUGAGGUAAGGAAAGAUACCGAACUUGUCAAGUGACUUAGGAACAUCUACAGGGUGUCUGAUGUCCGUUGGACAAGGACAACUGUAGGUGGGCCUAAUUACUUGGGAGGUUCCGUCACAGCUGGUAUCGGAGCGUAGCCCUUCUCUGCAGAUACUAUCAGACAUCUUCAAAAGAUUUUCUAAACAAACUUACCUAGAAAAUUUCUUCCUUUCUUACCUAAGUAAUUCUGAAGAGUUUAUUUUAAAGACCAGAUAGGAAGAGUGCAAUGUAUAGAAGGUGUGAAUCAACUAAUGUUGAUUCUGUAAUUACACAUGCAUCAUGUCAUACAAACUUUAAGUUAAACCCCCUGUGUAGCUAUUUUAGUGUAUGAAUCAUCUACCUUGUUCAUACAUCUUUAGUGAAUAGAGUGUAUCCGUUGCCCUUCUCUAUAGAUGAAUCAACAAGAAGCUCCUACAGGAGUUGGAGAGUUUCUUCGAGAUUUUGGUGUUCUAGUGGUCCUGUGGCGACUACUUCAAGAAUUUGGAUAUACCGAAGCACCUAAGUACCAGUGGUCACACACUGUUCUUAGAGGACAACCAUGGUAUGAGGUAGUAGUGCGUAUUCUAGAACGUGCUAGAAAGCCAUCUUGGCCACAUUGGAUGUUCCAUGCUGAAGGAAUGACUCCUUGGGAGGGUGCUCAGGUAGCUGCCUUAGAGGCGCUAACAACCAUUUGUUACCAGAAAUGGGAGGAAAUACAAGUCACAUCUAUGAGGUUGUUCCCUGCAGUUGCCUUAAGUGACCCAUUGGUGUAUCAUCACCAGGCCCGAUUAUUGGAAGCAUUCCUAUUGGGCAGGAUUCUGUAGAAUCGGCAUCUGCUCGAGUAUUGAUGGCCGUGCUAGAGUUGCAGCUUACUCGAGGGCACAAUCGUCAAAUGUGGCAGCAGUUGUACACUGGGAGUUAUGCAACAUUUAAGAUGAUGGAAAUGGCCAAGAAUAGGGCUUGUACCCAGGCACAAGAACAACUGGAGGACACAAAGAUUCAAGCUGAGCGAAUUAUUGGAUUAGAGCAUCAGGUGACAGAACUUCAGACGCAACACCAAGCUGAUCAGAAUUGCAUUAAGGAGCUUGAGCAUCAGCUAACUAAUGCUCAUUCUAAAUCAAAAGUUCUGAGUCAGCAACAAGAAGAAAUUCGCUUGGGUGCUAUUGCUAUUAGCGAAGACCUUAAGGAAACCCUAAGCUUCAUAAGCCAUCAGGAUCAGGCGAUCCAGGAAUUGAAUCGUGCUCAUCCAAUGGAAUUUCAAGUAGCGCAACGGCUUGUCAACCAUCUGCAGCAAGCAGUGCAUAUGCUCAAUGUUGCCUUUUAUCCUACUCCGGCAUCAGCGGACUAAGGGUUCCUUGGAAGAAUGGCAACAAGUAUCUGGCAGAUGGUGUAGCUAGAGAAGAUGUAAUAGGCAACUGGGAGUGUAGCGAAGUAGAUCAAUGUAAUAAGGUAGGUGUAAGAUAGACCUGCUUGGUAAUAAAAACAGGUUAAACUUUGUUGAAAAGAGUUUUCCUGUUUCACCUGGAUCAUGUAACAUGUGAGCUUUUCUAUGACUAUGGUGUAAGAAACAACUGCCUGUUUCAGAAGCAACUUUUAAUAUCUAUAGCCGUUUGUCGAAUCCCAAGAGUUAAAAUGGCUAUUCCUUUGGAUAUUCCCUGUGGAUGCACGUGUGUGGAUAAAUGACUUGGUAUACGCUGGUACCAUAGUUUCUAGUUGUGUUCCGUGAUGAAAUGGUACCACCUAAUUUCCCAUGUGAAUUUGGACAAAUGGAUAGACUUUAUCCAAAACAAAUUAGAUGCAGCAUCUUGGAUAAAACACAGAAAGAUAUCAAGUCUUACGGGGUACAGUGGAACUACCCCACAGAAGAUGAAGCCAUGUAGAAGGUCUGAGGGGUAUUUAGAAGACAAAGUCCUUGCCCUAAGUUUCGAGUUUUUGGAAAACCUUAGGGUUUGUGAAUUUUAAACCAACAGUGGCACGCCCCCUGUUUGGUAGGAGAAAUUGGGAAAUAACUUUGUGACACAUUUCUUUUUUCCGUUACUGAGCCUAAACUUUUAAAUCUCGGGACGAGAUUUCUUUUAGGGGGAAGGCUGUAACACCCCUGGUGUUACGUAAACUAAAACUCUGACAUGUCAUCAUAAGCAUCUGCAUUAAUGUGCUUGUUACACCUAGAAUGCAUUUACUAGGUUAAAAUUUUCUUUUCAAAAGUGUGAUGUCGUGUGUUGAGUAUAGGACUUAGGUUGAAAACCUUGCUUGAAAUUGUGGAUAAACAAAAUAACUCCGAAAUCAAGGACUUGUUCGGAAGGAGCUACAUAUGCUAAAGUUGGAUCUUAGACUAGAGAGUAACUUUGUUUCUAAUGGAUGGAUCAAAGGGAUGAAUCCCUGGAAGAAUCUGAAACACAAAUGAAACUCAUUUGAAACCCUAAAACUAGCCCAAAAGGGGAAUUCAAAAUCUAGAAGGAUUUAGCUAAAAGUCUAUAUACCAAGGUUGUAGGACUUGGAAAAGUGAACAAAUUUCAUAUUUGGAGAUUCCUAAGUUGUGUGGAAGAAUUUGGAGUUAAGUACAAAAAUUCAGUUUUGGGUUCAUUUUGGAAUUGCUGAAAAUAAUAUAAACUAGACAACUUUGGACCCUUGUAACUUCUGAUCUAAAACUAUUUUGAAGAUGAUCAUUAUAACAAAGUCAUAGAGCUACAUGAGGAGUACAAGUUUGGUUAAGUCACCUAGCCCUAACACUCUAUGGAACUUGGAGAAAAACUAGUCCAAUGUAGAGCUGUCAGAAAUUGUAGAUUUCAGACUUAGUGAAAUUCAGAUUCUGAAUUUCAGCAAUUGGAGCAAACUUUGGGCUAUUGUAGUUUGGAAUUCAAGAGGUUUUAGUUAAUGGUUACUAUAUCAAACUUGUAGAGGAACUAUUGGAGUAUAAACUUUAUUAAGCAACUUGCCCCUAUAAACAUUUGGAACCCAGGAAAAAGAGUGGUUCCAAGUGGUGCUGCUGUAUUUCUGAAUUUUCAGAUUGGAAACAGUAACUGAAACUGAAUUUCAGUGUUUUGAUAGCAGUUUUGAAGCCUAUUUGUGGUUGUUCUAUAAUGUUUUGUGCUAUGGUAUUUAUAGAGAAGUUGAAGCCCAUAUGAUGGUGAACAAGUUUCUUUAAGUGACUUUGGCUUCUUUCCACAUAAAAAGUGGAUAAAAAUGCCCCCAAAAUCAGCUGCUAGGCAUUCCUAUAACUGAAUUUGGUUCAGUUCUGAAAACUGAAAUUUGUUGUAUGGUGCCGAGUUUGGAGCCCUUUUGUGGUUGUUUAUAAGGUUUUGGACUGAGAUUUCUAUAGAGGAAUUGAAGACCAUAUAUUGGUGAACAUCUUCUUUAAAGGUAAUGGACAUGAUCCUAUACGAAAAUUGGAGUAACAGCUGCUCCAAGUUUGACUGUCAGGUGGUUGGUGACUUAGUUUAUUCAGAACUGAAUGUCUGAAAUCAAUAUUUUUAGUGCAGUUUUGGAGCUGUGUAGUGCCUAUUCUAGGUGGUUUUGAACCAAAGUUUCUGCAGCAAGUUUUAAGACCAUAUCUAGGAGAACAAACUUGUUUAAGCACUACUGGGUUGGUGCUACACAAAUUUGGGAGAGAAGUUAGCUCCAAGAUGGGCUGUCAGGUUGCUUUGACUGAAAUUUUUGUUCAGUUCACUGAAACCGAAAUUCAGUAAAAGGUACUAAUUUUGGAGCUCAUUUGUGGCUAAUCCAUUUGGUUUUGGGCUAAAUUUUCUGUAUCACAUUUGAAGACCAGAGUACAUUGAACAAGUUUUAUAUAGUGAGGUGGACUUGAUGCUGCACAAAACUGGGAGAAAAAGGUGUUCAAACUACCUCUGUCAGAUUGGUGCAGAUCAGGUCUGAUGCAGUGACUGUGGUUUUGGUUUAGUG